CAUAUGAAGAAGUCACGAGCCAAAACUGAAUUCCUGUUGGAGAAAUAAUUGAAGGAAUAAAAGGGCAGAAACUGACCUAAAACAGCUCAACACCACAUGUUCAAGUUUCCUACCCACAUGAAGAAAGCUAGAUGCUUUUCUCUUUUUCCUUGGAUAUAUUUUUCUGCUCCAAUAGAUCAUCAUCACUUCCAUACUUCUGCACCUUCAUGCCUUGCUUUCAUUUCAUCAUUACUCCAUCUUUUCCAUAUUUUACAAACCACUUUCAUUAUUUUUCUUCCAUUUAUCAUUUCACUCUUCUUUUUCUUCCCUAUAUAAACACCUUCUCCUCUCACUCUAAGUACAUUCCUUCAUCCAUUUCAUCUUCUUUGUCUCUCCAUUUCCUUUCCAUUUUCCCAUACAUUCCUUCAUCCAUUUCAUCUUCUUUGUCUCUCCAUUUCCUUUCCAUUUUCCCACACAUUCCUUCAUCCAUUUCAUCUUCUUUGUCUCUCCAUUUCCAUUCCAUUUUUCUCUCCAUUCUCUAGUUGCAAAAUUCUGCGUUUUCAAGUAAGAAGAAGAAGAAGAAGAAGGAGCCGGGAAUAUCAUAUCCUCCAUCGUCCACCUUGAAGGCUUGCUUCCAAGAUUCAAGAUUUCAACGUUUCAAGCACUCCAUCUCCAUCUCCAACUCACGGUGUGUACCCUCAAUCCCCGGAAUAGAACGAUCCCUAUUUGCUUAUACUACUAACGAUCUUUUCAGGGUUAAAUUAUGCGCUUGCUUUGAGCGUGUCAGCAAUAAUAUGAGUAUUGGGGGGCAAUAAUAUGGUUACUGGGUAUUAUUAGGGGCAAUAAAUUCAGGCGCAUGAAUCCGGUCACCAGUCCGGUAGCCGAAUUCCGGAUUCCGGUCAUCGGUUGCCGGAUUCCUGUCACCGGUCGCCAGAGUCGGUUCACCCGACGCCGGAGUCAAGCAAGGUCUCCAAUGACUUCUUUCUCUAAGUGACAAAGAAGGAGAGGGCAAAAUUGUCCCAAAAAUAAAUAAAAAUGAAUAAAAAAAUACUUAAUUGGGUAUUAGGGAAAUAAUCUCUUAGAGUGUUUGGGCAAGUGGGCAAUUUCUUAGAGUGUUUGGGUAAGUGGACAAUUUUUAAGCUAAAAUUAGGUAAAUGAUCAUUUCCCCUAAUUUUUAAUAUUUGAAGGUUAUUACAAUAAGUAACAAAAUACUAAUAAAACAAUUAAAAGAAAAAAAAUUUGAUAACUACCUAUCUGCACAUAUUUUUCCAUUAACCCUACAUGUACGCAGAUAAUCUCCCACUACCAUCAUCUCUAGAUAAUUUUCCACUAUUCUCAUAUGUAACUUCCCGUAUUCCUCUCUUUCAAAUAACUAGCUAGUAAGACAUAAAUAUUAUAUUUAUAAUUUAUAAAUUUUAAAAGAAAAAAAUUAAACUAAAAAUCUGCUUUACAUAUGCAUAGCAAAUGUAGGCGAGACUAGUAUACAAUUAGAUUAGACAAACCUAUUAUUUGUAUUAUUAUUUUUUUAUAUAACAAAGUAGUAAUUCUUUUACUGCGUAGACCUCGUAGCAAAACUUAAUCACCAACCAAAGAGAGGAAUGGUCUGGUGAUAUCAAAUAUUGUUGAAAAUAUACUGACGAGGAUAUGGUGUCAUGUAUUUGGAGGAGCUCUGCUAGCUUUUUCACAUUACGAUGAGGACCGAAUGAUCAAGUAUGCAGUCCGAUCAUGACAUGCAUAAUUGAUGAUCUUCGAUAUGUCAUGAAAUCCAUUUUGGAAAAGGGAAUGACCUAUUAGUGGUCGGCUACUGUGGACCUAGGCAAUCAAAACUGAAAUCUUCUCUGUGAUGAUCGAAGAAUGAUGAAAGUUAUUGCUGAUUUGCUGUGGAACACUAACUACUAGCUAGAAUAAUUAUUAGGGUCAUAUCCUCAACCCUAAAUGCAUCAUAUCGUCGACGAGUUGCAACAAGUUUAGCUGAGGUGAUAUUGGAGCCCUGGGAUUGCAACAAGUUUUCGUAAUUGCUUGUCGGUUUUGAAAGCUAUUUCAGCAGCAAUUGUAGUUUUUCAUUUCUCGAAGCUUGGACGGUUAAAUAUUUUUCUUUUAAUUUCAUAUUAUUCACAGUAAGAACACAUACUAAGAGUCUUGUAUCAUGUAACACUUGAAUUUUAAACCAUGUCGUUUUUCUCUAUAAAUCCCAAGUACUUAAACAUACACUCAAAAUUAGCAUCGUACAAAUCACCAAUGAUCCUACUUCUGUUUGUACCCACAUUUGCAUGUCCACUCCGACGUAGCUAAUGUGCAUAGUUUUUGAAUGGCUUCUAAUUACAAUGAGCCGCUCAACAAGUAAUUUGGGCUGAUAGCAAGAAAUGGUGGCCGAUGAGUAAGUGGAUACUUCAGUUGGUCCAAGAUGAGUCAGACGAAGCUAGGCCUUUGGUUAUCGGCCGGCACGUGGUCAUUGGUUUAUUGUCUAAAAGCCCAUUGGCCAAUGCUCUAAUUGGUUUCCAACCCGAACUCAACGUAGAAAGAUAAUGGCCGAUUGUCAGAGAAGCUAAUAAACGAUAAAGAUGAGGUGGAAUCUAGUAUUUCAAUCGAAUUGAAGUUCAUUAGCCGAUAAGGAGAGUUCAAUCCAAGAUAGUCUACUUCAAGAUUAGUUACAGCCGUUGAUGACGAUCAUCAAAGCCGAUCAGGAUGGAGUCUAGCGUCAAGUCAGCCGACGAUAAGUAUUGAAGCCAAAGCAAGAUAGAGUCACUGAGCCAAGAGGAGGCCGAAUUCCACUCAACUUCAAAGAGCCAAGAGAUCAGUUCAAGUCACAAAGCAGCCAAUAUAUAAAGAAGCAUCGACAGAAGACAAUACACACAACUCCAGAAACUCAAGCCAUCAAGCUUUUCUUAUUUUCGUGUUACCUUUUGCUUAGGUAGAAGUUCCGUCUGUUUCCCUAGUUUAUUUGCUCUGCUAGUUACAAUUUCAAUUGCUUUAAUUUCCUUGUAGCCUAGUAUCGAUUUUGAAUUGUUCUCUUUGUUUUCUUUCAAACAAUAGUUAAUAAUUUUCAGCCAUUCCAUAUUUCA